rnacentral:rRNA from 1 species
UACGGAGGGGGCUAGCGUUGUUCGGAAUUACUGGGCGUAAAGCGCACGUAGGCGGCGAUUUAAGUCAGAGGUGAAAGCCCGGGGCUCAACCCCGGAAUAGCCUUUGAGACUGGAUUGCUAGAAUCUUGGAGAGGCGAGUGGAAUUCCGAGUGUAGAGGUGAAAUUCGUAGAUAUUCGGAAGAACACCAGUGGCGAAGGCGGCUCGCUGGACAAGUAGUGGCGCUGAGGUGCGAAAGCGUGGGGAGCAAACAGG